GCCCCUCUUGGGUUGCUCCUGGAGAGUUUCCAGUAUUCUACCAGUCUCGGCUAUGUAAGGGAGAGUCAAGCAGAGGCCUACCCAUUCCAUUCCUAGCCUGGGCAGUGGCUGGUGAGUGGAAGGCCAUUUGCUACAAGU